GACGAACGCUGGCGGCGUGCUUAACACAUGCAAGUCGAACGGAAAGGCCCUGCUUUUGUGGGGUGCUCGAGUGGCAAACGGGUGAGUAACACGUGAGUAACCUGCCCUUGACUUUGGGAUAACUUCAGGAAACUGGGGCUAAUACCGGAUAGGAGCUCCUGCUGCAUGGUGGGGGUUGGAAAGUUUCGGCGGUUGGGGAUGGACUCGCGGCUUAUCAGCUUGUUGGUGGGGUAGUGGCUUACCAAGGCUUUGACGGGUAGCCGGCCUGAGAGGGUGACCGGCCACAUUGGGACUGAGAUACGGCCCAUACUCCUACGGGAGGCAGCAGUGGGGAAUAUUGCACAAUGGGCGGAAGCCUGAUGCAACAACGCCGCGUGCGGGAUGACGGCCUUCGGGUUGUAAACCGCUUUCGCCUGUGACGAAGCGUGAGUGACGGUAAUGGGUAAAGAAGCACCGGCUAACUACGUGCCAGCAGCAGCGGUGAUACGUAGGGUGCGAGCGUUGUCCGGAUUUAUUGGGCGUAAAGGGCUCGUAGGUGGUUGAUCGCGUCGGAAGUGUAAUCUUGGGGCUUAACCCUGAGCGUGCUUUCGAUACGGGUUGACUUGAGGAGGAUAGGGGAGAAUGGAAUUCCUGGUGGAGCGGUGGAAUGCGCAGAUAUCAGGAGGAACACCAGUGGCGAAGGCGGUUCUCUGGGCCUUUCCUGACGCUGAGGAGCGAAAGCGUGGGGAGCGAACAGGCUUAGAUACCCUGGUAGUCCACGCUGUAAACGGUGGGUACUAGGUGUGGGGUCCAUUCCACGGGUUCCGUGCCGUAGCUAACGCUUUAAGUACCCCGCCUGGGGAGUACGGCCGCAAGGCUAAAACUCAAAGGAAUUGACGGGGCCCCGCACAAGCGGCGGAGCAUGCGGAUUAAUUCGAUGCAACGCGUAGAACCUUACCUGGGUUUGACAUGGAUCGGGAGUGCUCAGAGAUGGGUGUGCCUCUUUUGGGGUCGGUUCACAGGUGGUGCAUGGCUGUCGUCAGCUCGUGUCGUGAGAUGUUGGGUUAAGUCCCGCAACGAGCGCAACCCUUGUUCACUGUUGCCAGCACGUUAUGGUGGGGACUCAGUGGAGACCGCCGGGGUCAACUCGGAGGAAGGUGGGGAUGACGUCAAGUCAUCACGCCCCUUAUGUCCAGGGCUUCACGCAUGCUACAAUGGCUGGUACAGAGAGUGGCGAGCCUGUGAGGGUGAGCGAAUCUCGGAAAGCCGGUCUCAGUUCGGAUUGGGGUCUGCAACUCGACCUCAUGAAGUCGGAGUCGCUAGUAAUCGCAGAUCAGCAACGCUGCGGUGAAUACGUUCCCGGG
rnacentral:rRNA from 1 species